rnacentral:rRNA from 1 species
UGGGGGAUAUUGCACAAUGGGGGGGAACCCGUGAUGCAGCGACGCCGCGUGGGUGAAGAAGCGCCUCGGCGCGUAAAGCCCUGUCAGCAGGGGAAGAAAAUGACGGUACCUGAAGAAGAAGCCCCGGCUAACUACGUGCC